GGGGAAUAUUGCACAAUGGGCGAAAGCCUGAUGCAGCAACGCCGCGUGAAGGAUGAAGGCCUUUGGGUCGUAAACUUCUGUCCUUGGGGAAGAAAAAAAUGACGGUACCCCUGGAGGAAGUCCCGGCUAACUACGUGCCAGCAGCCGCGGUAAUACGUAGGGGGCGAGCGUUAUCCGGAAUUAUUGGGCGUAAAGAGUACGUAGGUGGUUUUUUAAGCGCAGGGUUUAAGGCGAUGGCUCAACUGUCGUUCGCCCUGUGAACUGGAAGACUUGAGUACAGGAGAGGAAAGCGGAAUUCCUAGUGUAGCGGUGAAAUGCAUAGAUAUUAGGAGGAACACCAGUGGCGAAGGCGGCUUUCUGGACUGUAACUGACACUGAGGUACGAAAGCGUGGGGAGCAAAC
rnacentral:rRNA from 1 species